AUGAAUGUCCCCUAAUCCCUGUAUAAUGCUGCUCAUGUUCAGUUCACACUUAGCCAGACACGCACGGGUCCAGGAUGACAGCAAGCUGACCUGCAUGACAGAACAUUAUAGCCCCCCUUCUAAAAAAUCUAUCAAGUUCACGAGGCCCAACCAAACCUUACCCACUGAACACAGAUGAUGGACAGGGCGGUUCUGACAGUGGGAAGAGACCUGGGAAACAGCUGGCACAUAUGGACUAGCUGCUAGCUGUGGCUCUGUGACUAAACUCUGGCCAAUGAGAUGUCAAAGAAUGUCUUACGUGUGACUUGCUGGAAGUUUCCUUAAGAGGUAAUGAGACUGCUCUUUGUUCCUUCCUCCUCCCUGCUUCUUGAGGGAGGAAUGAGCACAGAAUGACAAGAGCACAAGCUGCCACCUUGAAUCAUGAGAAACUAUGCUAAGAAUGUCAGAGCUACAAAGAGAGGGAACCAGGGUUCCUCAUGACACCAUGAAAUUAUCACA